AUCUAAGAGGCAGUUGCAGUCAGGACAACACUUGUGACAUCAUAGAAGAAGAUAAUGCUCUCCAGGUUACAAGAGAGUUUUCAGGGAGGCUUAAUGUUGAUGUCACUGAGAACUGCCAUGGCCUACCUGCUGAAGACCUUUCCUUAUACUGACCAGAUUCGAGUUUGCACUUUCCAGCUGAGGAGGAAGAGUGUUAGCGGAUGGUGAGACUUUGUCUUACGAUAUAUGUGACACUGUGCCAUCAAUGAGGCAUCAUGCACCAGCUAAUAUGAGGCCUCUAAGAAAGGAGUUCUGUUUCUGGACACAACAAGAGAAGAUGCACAUAACAGUCAAGAGACUUGAGUUCCCAGGGAGUGUAGAGGGCUGGUAGACUAGGGGUGGAGUGGGAAACAUCUUCAUUCAGAUGGGCUUGUGGGUAGUAGGUAUGGGAUGUAGAACAGUCAGAAUAUGGGCUGGGAGAGGGAUGAGAUCUGGAUUGUAAAAUUCUAUUAAAUAAAUUUUAAAAAA